ACCAGCCUCAGGUCAGUAUCCGAACUAGCUGCGGCAGCCAUCUUGAAUUUGGAUGACUGAUGUUUAUCAAGCUACAGUUCUGUUGAGAAAAUAUUUAGCUCUGUUUAGCUUUUAGCUACUGUUCUGCUUCUUUUAGGAACUGGGUUUCAGCUCCUUUAGUUCUUAAAUUUCUGCAGCUGAAACAGUGUUUUGUUGUGUGUCAUGUUUCCAGCAGGUCUGAUGAAGCUUCAGUCAGCAGCUGAAAACAAAGCCUGAGCUGAGAAUAAAGCCUGACAGCUGCUCUGAAACAUGAAGCCCUGUUAAAGAUCGACACAUGGAGGAGGAAAAGCUUCAGCACCAUGUUUGUUCUUCAGGCUUCAGCAGCUUCAUGUGACCUUUUUUCUGUAGAAAAACAGGAAGUGAUGUUUCAGAGCCCGCAGGCCUCUUCUAUCAGAACUUCCUCAUUCCUCCUCUUCCUCCUCAAACAUUUGUUUUCAGGCGGAGUGAGAAAAACUGCUGCUCUGAAACACACCUGGUGACAUGUGGGACAGAAGAUGGAUCACCUGCUGAAGAGAAUCCAGAAUCAAACUUUAACAGGAUAUAAACUCCACCAGGUGUGAGUCCAGAUCCAGUUCUGGCUGUGGAUCCGCUCCGGGUUUUCAGUCGACCCUUCAGCAGGCCGCCAUUUCAGGAUCUGCAGAGGCCUUCUCCUCCUCCUCCUUCUCCUCCUCCUCCUCCUCCUCCUCCUCUGCUGCUGCUCCAUCAUGGCAGAACAAAGCAGCUCUGUCUUUGUCUGCAGCUCCUCGUUCACACGCAGCGUUCACAAGAACCGGCUUCACUCCUGAUCUGCAGAAACACUCUGAGAGGAGAAAGAAAGGUCACCGAGUCGCAGAAACUCUGACCUCAAAUCAAAGAUGAAAGGACAAAUUAACCUAACUAAGCUCAGAUUAAAACGGUUCUUUCUUUUCUUUGACCUUUAGGUGGAAAUUAAAGCAGUCAAUCAAAACUAAAGUCAAACAAAAUGUGUUUUUCUUUAUUUUAAUAAACUAAAAGCCUUCCUGUCUGUCAGGAAGUUCAUCUGAA